GCCUGUCUUUCAUUUCCACCACAGGCUUUCAGCCAGACAGUUUGAACAGAAUCUCAUCUGGAGUGUGUUAACUCUUCUCCACCGUUGCUGGCAGAGAUCUGGGAUCAGCUCUGCAUUGGGACAAGUUAUUGUCUCUACUCCCCAGAUUGUCUCAACUCCUCAGUGUUGGAGCCUGUGCUGAAGUUCAUCAGAUAUUCCAGGCAGGGCUUGUCUAGAAGCAGAAUAUACUACACCAAGGAUAGUUUGAGAUCAAGUGAGAAAAGGACACAGAGACACUCAGAGAGAAAGUUCCUGUGAAGAUGUAGACAAAGAUUGGAGUUAUGCUACUACAAGCCAAGGAAAUUUAGAAGCUACCAGAAUCUGGGAGAGGCAAGGAAAUAUUCUCUCCUAGAGCUUGACAGAAAUCCACUAUCUUUAAAACGUGGAUCUUCAGAUGCUCCUGAAGACAGACAAGGUGGGGAAAAAGAUGCUGCAAGCCUCCAAAUAAUUGAUUAUCAGGUCUACCCAGAGGAGGUUGAAGUGAAAGAGGUUCUUGCUGGAGAACAGUGUGAGGA